rnacentral:rRNA from 1 species
GGUUGCGAUCAUACCAGCACUAAUGCACCGGAUCCCAUCAGAACCCCGCAGUUAAGCGUGCUUGGGCGAGAGUAGUACUAGGAUGGGUGACCCCCUGGGAAGUCCUCGUGUUGCAACCCC